CGGCAAUAGCUCAAAUUUGAAAGCUGGCUCUUCGAGUCCGCAUUGUAAUUUGUAGAGGAUGUCUCGCGGACGGCACUGCCCUAAGUCCCUUGGAACAGGGCGUCAUAGAGGGUGAGAAUCCCGUAUGGGGGUGGAUGCCUGACGCAUGUGAGACUCCUUCGAC
rnacentral:rRNA from 1 species